CAUCACUGGUGUUCGGGUUGUCAUGCCAAUGGCACUGCCCGGUAGCUAAAUGCGGAAGAGAUAAGUGCUGAAAGCAUCUAAGCACGAAACUUGCCCCGAGAUGAGUUCUCCCUGAGACUAUAAGUCUCCUGAAGGAACGUUAAAGACGAUGACGUUGAUAGGCCGGGUGUGUAAGCGCAGCGAUGCGUUGAGCUAACCGGUACUAAUGAACCGUGAGGCUUAACCUU
rnacentral:rRNA from 1 species